CUAAGAAUAUUCCGCAAUGGACGAAAGUCUGACGGAGCGACGCCGCGUGGACGAUGAAGGCCGAAAGGUUGUAAAGUCCUUUUGAACCUGACGAAUAAGCAGUGCAGGAAAUGGCAUUGUGGUGACGGUAGGGUUUGAAUAAGCAACGGCUAAUUACGUGCCAGCAGCCGCGGUAACACGUAAGUUGCGAGCGUUGUUCGGAAUUAUUGGGCGUAAAGGGCAUCUAGGCGUAUCUCAAGCUUGGUGUGAAAUGCCGGGGCUUAACUCCGGAACUGCAUUGAGAACUAAGAUACUGGAGUCGCUGAAGUGCAGCCAGAAUUCCUGGUGUAGGGGUG
rnacentral:rRNA from 1 species